AUACUCUGUUUCUCUGCAUAUAGUAUAAAUCCUUUGCCUUUUACUAAAGAUUUCCGUGGAGAGGAGCACGUAUGAGUUCCAUUAAUAUUCACUUGUAUUUCUUGAGACGGAACA
ensembl:snRNA U5 U5 spliceosomal RNA